GAUGAACGCUGGCGGCGUGCCUAAUACAUGCAAGUCGAGCGAACAGAUAAGGAGCUUGCUCCUUUGACGUUAGCGGCGGACGGGUGAGUAACACGUGGGUAACCUACCUAUAAGACUGGAAUAACUCCGGGAAACCGGGGCUAAUGCCGGAUAACAUUUAGAACCGCAUGGUUCUAAAGUGAAAGAUGGUUUUGCUAUCACUUAUAGAUGGACCCGCGCCGUAUUAGCUAGUUGGUAAGGUAACGGCUUACCAAGGCAACGAUACGUAGCCGACCUGAGAGGGGGAUAGGCCACACUGGAACUGAGACACGGUCCAGACUCCUACGGGAGGCAGCAGUAGGGAAUCUUCCGCAAUGGGCGAAAGCCUGACGGAGCAACGCCGCGUGAGUGAUGAAGGUCUUCGGAUCGUAAAACUCUGUUAUUAGGGAAGAACAAAUGUGUAAGUAACUGUGCACGUCUUGACGGUACCUAAUCAGAAAGCCACGGCUAACUACGUG
rnacentral:rRNA from 1 species